rnacentral:rRNA from 1 species
AUUGAACGCUGGCGGAAUGCUUUACACAUGCAAGUCGAGCGGCAGCACGGGGGCAACCCUGGUGGCGAGCGGCGAACGGGUGAGUAAUACAUCGGAACAUGCCCAGUCGUGGGGGAUAACACUUCGAAAGAAGUGCUAAUACCGCAUACGUCCUGAGGGAGAAAGCGGGGGAUCUUCGGACCUCGCGCGAUUGGAGUGGCCGAUGUCAGAUUAGCUAGUUGGUGGGGUAAAGGCCUACCAAGGCAACGAUCUGUAGAUGGUCUGAGAGGAUGAACAGCCAAACUGGGACUGAGACAGGGCCAAGACUCCUACGGGAGGCAGCAGUGGGGAAUUUUUCGCAAUGGGGGAAACCCUGACGAAGCAACGCCGCGUGGAGGAUGAAGGCCUUCGGGUCGUAAACUCCUGUCGACCGGGAAGAAUGCACACGACCUAAUACGUCGGCGUGUUGACUGUACCGGUGGAGGAAGCCACGGCUAACUCUGUGCCAGCAGCCGCGGUAAUAC